UCGACCUUGAUAGAGAGUAGUCCUAUAAGGUUUGAGAAGCUGAGUCCACAAAACUAUGACCAUAGUAGUAUGAUUGAUGAAAAAAAAAUUCAUUUAGAAUCACUAUUAGACUUGAGCUGAUCGGAUCUAUCAUAUAAUUAAUGAUGAAGUUUGACGAUUUAUCCAUCAUCUGCCAUCUAGUCGGGACUCAUGAUAGAGGGACUUUAUCAUACAUUAACUAUAUCUAGAGGUUCUAUUUUGGUUAUGCUGGAUUGCUACAACAUAUUGCUAGAGAUCACUAAUGAAUUGUG
rnacentral:lncRNA from 1 species